GCUUCUCGCAUAGCUCAGUUGGUUAGAGUGUGAUGCUGGUAAUAGCAAGGUCACAGGUUUGAUCCCCGUAUGGGGCA